GUGGGGAAUUGUUCGCAAUGGGCGCAAGCCUGACGACGCAACGCCGCGUGGAGGAUGAAGGUCUUCGGAUUGUAAACUCCUGUUGACCGGGAAGAAUUCCCCUGGGGUUAACACCCCUGGAGGUUGACGGUACCGGUUGAGGAAGCCCCGGCUAACUCUGUGCCAGCAGCCGCGGUAAUACAGAGGGGGCGAGCGUUGUUCGGAAUUACUGGGCGUAAAGGGCGCGUAGGCGGCCGACUAAGUCAGACGUGAAAUCCCCUGGCUCAACCAGGGAACUGCGUCUGAUACUGGCUGGCUUGAAUCCGGGAGAGGGAUGUGGAAUUCCAGGUGUAGCGGUGAAAUGCGUAGAUAUCUGGAGGAACACCGGUGGCGAAGGCGGCAUCCUGGACCGGUAUUGACGCUGAUGCGCGAAAGCCAGGGGAGCAAACGGGAUUAGAUACCCGGGUAGUCC
rnacentral:rRNA from 1 species